rnacentral:misc_RNA from 1 species
CAGAGUUGAAAAACUCCAAACCAUUGUGAACUUACCUUUGCCGUUGCUUCGGCGGGCGGCCCGGGUCAUGCCCGGCGCCCCUCGGCCCCAUUUCGGGGCGCCCGCCGGAGGUAAACCAAACUCUUGAAUUGUAUGGCCUCUCUGAGUCUUCUGUACUGAAUAAGUCA